rnacentral:rRNA from 1 species
AGUGAACGCUGGCGGCGUGCUUAACACAUGCAAGUCGAACGGACUUAAGGGGCUUGCUUCUUAAGUUAGUGGCGCACGGGUGAGUAAUAUAUAGCUAACCUGCCCUUUAGUGGGGGACAACAGAUGGAAACGUCUGCUAAUACCCCAUACUCCUUCUUACUAUAAGGUAAGUUGGGAAAGAUUUAUCGCUAAAGGAUGGGGCUUAUUGUAUCAGCUAGUUGGUGGGGUAAUGGCCUACCAAGGCUAUGACGCAUACCUGGUCUGAGAGGAUGAUCAGGCACACUGGAACUGAGACACGGUCCAGACUCCUACGGGAGGCAGCAGUGGGGAAUAUUGCACAAUGGAGGAAACUCUGAUGCAGCAACGCCGCGUGGAGGAUGACGCAUUUCGGUGUGUAAACUCCUUUUAUAAGGGAAGAUAAUGACGGUACCUUAUGAAUAAGCACCGGCUAACUCCGUG